CCCAUCUCAAAAAAACCAAAUAAAUAAAAAAAGAAUGAAGGAAAAUAAAUGUGUUAUAUGCCUCCUAUAUACUCAGUACUUGUAUUUAUGAUAACUCCUUUGAUGUUUAUAAUACCACUAAAUGUAGACUUUAUUAUACUUUCAGUAAUGAGUCUUAGACACUAUUGUAUUGAUCAGACAAAUUGCCAAAGGCUCUUCAGUGAAUUAGCACAAGCCUAGAUUCCAAAGCAAAUGCAUCUGACCGCCUCCCCAUGCAGAAGCCCACCCCCAACCCUCCUGCACUGCCUCAGUUCUUCCCAUGACAUCACACUGCCCACUCCCACCUGGAGUGUCUUCUCAUUUGCAUGUAUUCAAGGUUCCAGGUUCCAGCUGAUAACUUUCUAUAUCGACCCAAAGUGAUCUGAGAUGCUACUGCACAGUUCAUUUGGCACAAGAGUUAAAACACUCAAAAAGCUCUUGGGAAUUCCUUAUCUACCUGUGGACAUUACAGGGAGACCUUGUGCUUAUAUGCUUUCCUCUAACUGUAGCGCCACAUAAGCCAGGGCUAUGUGUCCUCCACACCUAGUUCCCACACCUGCCUGUGACAUAGACAAUGCGUGCACACACCCACAUGCACACACAGACAUACACAUACGUAUGAUCACACCCAUACCUUACCAAGCAUUUUGUACAGACACAUGCUACCAUGGGAACGUGGGCACAAAAUACAUAGUUGAUUCUCCUCUUUCCUUUAUAGAUAUUUUCAAAACAGUGUUUCUGUGGUGAUAUCUUUUUUAGUCUUCUUGUUUCCUUGACUGCAGGUUAAGAAUGCUGAAAUGCCUUGGGUGCCUUUUAGUAGGUCCUUCUCCACUGGGUUUUGUGGCUGAAUGACUGUAUUCCUAUUUCUAAGUCAAAGUCUAUUGUAUUCAUUAUAUCAUUCAUCUCUUUGCAGUGAAGUCUCAGAAUAUGCUUGCAAAAAAACAUCUCUCUGCCCGGGAAUUUGAGAUCACAUUUCCCUCUUUCCUGCAUCAAGCUCAAGCUGCUUUCCUGCUUUCAAGGCCUAGUCCUGCCCCAUCGUUCUCUGCCCAAACCUUCCCCUGCCAUCUCUGUUCCAUACCCACGUGGUAUGUUACCAACCUCUAUGCCUUUGUUCAUGCUGGUUCUAAUCUGAGGUUCUACUCCAAUUCCUAACUGAUCCCCUAAAAUGACGUUGGGGAAGUCGUUACAACCUCUAGGCCUGUUUCUUUACUCACCAUAAAAAGGCUCCACAAAUCAUAAAGGCUACCAUUUACUAAGGCUUACUUUGUACAUUGCCCUAAGUAGUUUACCUAUGUUUUCUCACGUCUUCUUAAUAUCCAUUACAGGGAACAUUACUGUCCCCAUUUUUCAGAUGAGGAAACUGAGACUGAGAUGAAAUAAAUUGCCCAAAAGUAUAUAGCCAGCGAGGAACAAAGAAAGGAUUAGAACCUGGCUUUGCGUAAUUUCAAACCCCAUCCUUUCAACUACUUGCCAUGCUGUUCUUCAAAGACUUUUCCAACCCCGAAGUCUAUGAUUUUAUGAACCUAUUCAGCCUUCCUCAUCCUUUCGCUCCUGUGCCAUCUGCCCCUUGGAGGCUUUGGCAUUUGGCCUAUAUGGAAAAGGGCCAUUUUCCAUAAUGGGCCCAUUUCAGAAUUCCAUCUGAUUUAACACUUGAUUGUAAACCAUCAGACUUUCCCAUAAUUUUUCAGUGGGUGUUCUUGUCUUCCUUCCAGAUGAAACCUUGAGAAAAGGGGCCAAGACUAUAAUAGUGGUCCUGUGCCAUAGUGCAGGAAGAGAAUGAACAGCGAGAUCACUGGCUUUUUUUUUUUUUUUUUUUGGAUGCUUGCACCAUAUCCUAGGUGGUUUCAUGCCAUCUCAUUUUCUCCUUGAAAUAUAUUCAUAGUAAAUAUUAGCAGCUUCAUUUUUAAAAUGAAGAAGCUGAGGCCCAGAGAGGUUAAGUAGCUUACUCCAUAAUAAGUGGCUGAAGAGAACUUAAUGAAGUCAGUCUGAUUACAAAGCACAAAUUUCCUGCUAUAGAAAUCUGAACAAUGAAAGACAACAAACAUUCUAAUUUCCUUUCUCUUUUAGCCAUCCCUCUAAAUAUCAGUACCGUUUGGGUACUCAAUACCACACAAUAUUCUAAAUCACUAUAUUGUUAUCAAUGUCCAAAGAGCUCUAAGAGUAAAUAGUCAACGGAAAUUGAGAACAGUAAAACUGAGCCAGUGCAGUAACAUGUUUACUUAUGAAAAUCAUUGAUAAUGUGGCCAUUAUAGAUAUGCCCUGAAAAGCAAGAUAAGUAAUGAAGUAGUAAUUAUAAAACAUUGCAACUAAUCGAAAGAUUCCAGUUUUAUAGUUUCUGAUGGUCCCAGCAUGCCUUUCCAACCUGAUCUUUACCUACUUCAUUUCACCCAUGCUACCACCAUCUCAUUUCCUGCCUCCGUGCCCUUUUAUUUUUCCAUUUGAAAUAUCCUCUCCAGUAUCUUUACCUCUUCAAAUCUUACCUAUAUUCAAAAUAUCACUUCUUCCCUUCAGUCUUCCUUAACCUCCUCCUUUGCAUCUACUAGUUAGACUCUCCACAUGCUAAUAAACACAGAUGUUUUCCACCCCGUAUUCCAUUCUCCUCUCCUUCCUGUGCUCACAAAUAAACCACAUUUCACAUUCACUUAAUUGGACCAUGUGGCAGAUUUAUGCCAACAGAAUGCAAACAGAAGUGAUAUUCGUCAUUUCUAGACUGUAGUGGUUUGAAAACAUGUUCACAAAUUCUUUGAUGCUACUUCUUUCAAGAAGUGGAACUUGAUUCCCCUUCUUUUGCAUGUGGGUUGGACACAGUGAUUCUCUUCUAAUGAACAAAUAUGGUGGAGGUGGCAGUAUAUGACUUCUGAGGCUAGAUCAUAAAAGCCGUUAAGCUUCUGCUUUAUGUGUUCUCUCUCUCCUCUCUCCCCUCACUCUUUCUCAGAUGAGGUGACUGGCUCUGGGGGAAGCCUAUGGCCAUGUUGUAAGGACACUCAAUCAGCCCGGUGGAGAGGUCCACAUGGCAAGGAACUAAGGCCCCCUGCCAACAGCCAACAAAGAACUGAGACCUUCUGCCAAUAGCCAUGAGAAAGUCCUCUUGGAAGAGAAUCUUCCCAUCUCAUUCAAGCCUUCAGAUGACCACGGCAUGGGCAAACUUUGAUUGCAGUCUCAUGAGAGACCCAGAGCCAGAACCAUCCAGUUAAGCUGCUAUCGAAUUCCUGAGCCCAUCUAAAUCAUGUUAAUACCUGUCGUAAACAGAUAACUAACAGAUUAAUAAGCAACUCAUAUACAGGCUUAGCUACAAAUCAUUCCAUACAGUAUUUUACUCAAACUGUUUUUUCCUAGUUUUGCCUUGAAGUGAAUGAAGCUCUAGAAAGCCAAAAGACAGAAGGAGAUAGGACCUCUGAGUCAUCUGGAGGAGUGGUACCCUAGAAAACCAUCCCUAUCAUGCUAAAUCACAAAUUUGGGACUUGUUUGCUAUAGUAGUUAGUGCUACUAAUUCUGUGUAAUAUACUCUCCUUUUUACUUCUCAUAGCAUUUAUUGUUCUCUACCAUAUAUAAUUAUUUGCAUAAAUAUAUUUUUUCAUUUUAGUCUAUUAGUUAAACAAACAAACAAACAAACUACAUUGCCAUGGUUUGACUGCGUCCUCCAGAAGCAUGUGUUGGAAACUGAAUUGCCAUUGUAACAGUAUUAAGAGGUGGGACCUCUCAGAGGUGAGUAGGCCAUGAGGGCUCUGCCUGCAUGAAUGGAUUAAUGCUGUUAUUUCAGGAGUGAGUUUCUUAUAAAAGGACAAGGUAGGCCCCCUUCAUACUCUCUCUGUUGCACACUCUGUUGGCCGUCUGCCCUCUGACAUGGGAUGACACAGCAAGAAGGCCCUUCCCACGUGCAACCCCUCCAUCUUGGACUUCUCAGCUUCUAGAACUGUGAGCCAAAUAUAUUUCAUUUUUUUAUAAAUUACCCAGUCUUUGGUAUUGUUACAGCAGCACAAACCGGACUAAAACACGAAAUGAGAAAUUACAAGAUGCUUGGUGGUAUGUGCUUUGCCAAUGUAUCUCAAUUAAUUCUUGCAAUAACCCUCUACAGUAAAUACUAUUAUUACUCUGAUUUUUCAGAUGUGAAAUAUGAGCCUGGGAGAGGUAAAGUGACUUGCUCAUAGCCCAGAAGAGGCCAAGCUGACAAAUCUGAGGAUUCCUGAAGUCACGUCCUUAGCCACACUCUAACACACUCCCUCCCAGUGAGCCCUGCAUCUCACACGGUGCCUAACAAAGUGUCUUACACACAGUUGUUGGUUAAUUUGUGCCAGUGACUGCAUGAAUAAGUGAAUGAAGAAAUAGCAAUAUGUUAAAAGGGGAAAUGUCAUAAAAGUUCACAAAGAAUCAAAAAAUUCUGUUGCUCUCAAAUAUUUUUUCCUCAUACAAAUGGCCCUUUUUACUUGUAUGUCUCUGAACUUUAGGGUGCUAGUGGCUAGAACACAUAAAGAGAUUCAUUCACUGAAUGGAAAGCAUGCUUAGAGAAUACUAAGAAAUUCUUCAUAAUGUCUACUUUUAGAUCAAGAGCCUCAAGUGCUUCAGGACAUCAAACAAAUUUAGAACUUUUCUGAAAAGCCGAUUCAUUAAGGAAAGCUGCUGAAAUCCACAGGCACCUUUUAAGGAGAGGACAGGGACAUAGCGAUGGGUGCCCUUUCACUAGAAACCUGUGUCCAUUCACAACCAGGCUGGGGAGACUCAGAGCGUGACAAAGCCUUAAUUGUUCUUGCCAGAACAACAUGGUAAUGGAGUGAAAGAGUGGGUGCCCUGUGUACUGAGGAAGAAAGGCAGUAAAUGAGUCCCUGGCAGCACCGCAGCAGGUCAACCUUAACAAAGAUGGGGACGGCACUCUCUGCCAGAAAACCAGUCUCAGCAAACUUGCUGAGUUAAAACUAUCAGAUUUAAGCUAAAAACAGCGAUAUUUCCAAAAUAUGCAGCCUUUGCACCAUGGGAAAGGAAGACUAUCCCUACCUGGGGAGUAGCUCACUGCACACUUGAACUCCUGGGCUCAAGCAAUCCUCCUGCCUUUACCUCCUGAGACAGGAGGUGCUCUGGGACUUCCCUUCGCAUCUAAAAUAGCCGGAAGGAUGUGAGCGUGUGGUCCCAGGGGCUGGACUUGCCUCAUCACUCGGAAAGGAUUCACUGGGAAAGUUCCCAAACUAGCCCUCCCUGAGCAGUCAUGAAUCCACACUUAAUUUGCCCCAUCAAAGUAGGCCUCAUGAAAUUAUUUUCCCUCAAACUUAAAAAACCACAGCAGGAUGAAUUCUCUCAGAAGUUAUCAUAGUUGUAGCAUUAUUGAUCCAUGAACAAUUGAAUUCUUUGAAUUCAUGCCUAAGAACACAAAAGAAGCCCCUGCACUUUUUUCACAAGUCUCUGUGGAAUUUCACAUUCCAAUGAAAGCAAAUUACACUUAUUUUUUAUUUAGCAACAGUACUAUUUCCAACCACCAAUGUAACCACUUAAUAGAGUUUUGUUUAUGAUUUAGCAAGAUUUUUUUUUCUAAUAACAAAAAAAUGCAGCUACAAAAGCACUAAGCUCAGAAAAAUACAUUUGCAAAAACAUAUUGCAAAUGUAACUCUCUUCUGUUUUUUAGUUGCCUUUAAGGAAAGUCUUAAUUGGAAGAGCAGCAUUUUCACCAACUACUGUGCCAAAACCAAAGCUGGUUCAGGGCUGGCUGAACCCACUGAGCUGAGGUCAGGGCAGAUGCAGCCCGUCCUCUGUGCUGGGCAGGAGUCUGUGGAGGAUUCUGCGUCUGUCCAUCCCGGUUGUGAGUGCUCCUAGUUGGCCCUGCCAGCCACUCCUAACAGUCUUAGCUUAGAGUCCACUUCCGGUCCUAGAGGUGCCCAAAGCCCUAGUCAGGGUCCAGACCCUACAGUCUGUCUCAAGGUUUGAGGUGCUCUGGUCUGACCCAGAAAUAGCCCAGACCCUUUGGAGCCGUGGGAGUAGUUGCAGGGUCCAGGACCCAUCAAACAGUCCCGAUCAAUCCACUAGCUACUCACAUCCAAGGACUUUGACUAGAACCAGAAAAAUUACAGGAAUGCAGCAAACCAACUGCCUGGAUGCAUUCAGCCCUGGGUCAGUCACAAUAGGUGUUCAGAACCCCUGGUUCUAUGUAAUCAAUCAAAGACAGACAUCUUCCACUACGAACUGAAACCUCGGCAGGCUCACUGGCCUUAAAUCACGCCUGUGUCACUCUGGAGCUAUGGAAUGAGUUAAACCUCAGCAUGCUCCUUGACAUUAACUCAUUCCAGUUUCUCAAAUGAGAACAAAGAAAACAUCAGAAGGUAUCCAUCAACAGUGGAAUACUCUCCGCACUUGGCUAAGCAUUGUAUCUUCACUCCUAACUCAGAAUUUCCCUUCGCUUACAGGUUUAAUGCAAAUCAUUUGUUUGGUUAAAUGAUGGCACACAUAUUUGGUUUUUAAUUUAUAAUGUACUGGGUUUACUGUGGGGGAGGCAGUGUCUGCAGUUCUUUAUAAAUAGUAAUGUAUCUAUAUGUGCAUUUAUGUGUAUAUUUAUAAAGGUACAUAUAGUGUGUACAUUUACAACAAAAUGUAACACAUCAAGGGUUUGCAUACAUUCAAAUAAAACACUUUAGAUUCUUUGUGACUGAAUUUAUUUUGUAAUAUUUUUAAUUGCUGAAUAUGUGCCCAUUUUAAGAAAGUAAACAAAGUUGUAUAAAGAAAAAGUGAAUAAUUCUUGUUGUCCCCUUUCAAGUUCAUCCUCCUGAGGUAACAGCAAUGUUAUCUAGUGUUUACCAAUGUGCAGGAUAAGCCUUCUGAAAGGAGUUAUUUUUUUUUAAGUUUUAAAAAGAGGCCAGGCACAGUGGCUCACGCCUAUAAUCCCAGCACUU